rnacentral:sRNA from 1 species
CCCCACCAAGCCCAUAAGGCCCUGACCCCUGACUCCCAGUUUCAGAUCUCUGCUCUCUGACAGGUGGAAGGGGGAGAAUGUGGCCACAACCGAGGUGGCAGAGGUCUUCGAGGCCCUGGAUUUUCUUCAGGAGGUGAACGUCUAUGGAGUCACUGUGCCAGGGCAUGAAGGCAGGGCUGGAAUGGCAGCCCUAGUUCUGCGUCCCCCCCACUCUUUGGACCUUAUGCAGCUCUACACCCACGUGUCUGAGAACUUGCCACCUUAUGCCUGGCCCCGAUUCCUCAGGCUCCAGGAGUCUUUGGCCACCACAGAGACCUUCAAACAGCAGAAAGUUCGGAUGGCAAAUGAGGGCUUCGACCCCAGCACCCUGUCUGACCCACUGUACGUUCUGGACCAGGCUGUAGGUGCCUACCUGCCCCUCACAACUGCCCGGUACAGCGCCCUCCUGGCAGGAAACCUUCGAAUCUGAGAACUUCCACACCUGAGGCACCUGAGGGAGGGACUCUGUGGGGUGGGGGCCAUUGCAGGUGUACUGGGCUGUCAGGGAUCUUUUCUAUACCAGAACUGCGGUCACUAUUUUGUAAUAAAUGUGGCUGGAGCUGAUCCAGCUGUCUCUGA